CGACCAGCUAGCCGACCAAACCAAACCCAUUAAACCAAAUAUUAACUUCCCCCUAACACACGGACAUUACAAGAAUAAACCAUUUUUCCCCCUUAGUAUGGGAGACAGAAAAGGACCUACGAGCCAUAGAAAAAGUACCGCAAGGGAACGCUGAAAAAGAAGUGAAACAAAUCAGUUAAGUAAAAAAAAGCAGAGAUUAACACUCGUACCUUUUGCAUCAUGAUUUAGCCAGAACCCCCAAGCAAAAUGUUUUUUAGUUUGAACCCCGAAACUAGGUGAGCUACUCCAAGACAGCCUAUUUAUUAGGGCGAACCCGUCUCUGUGGCAAAAGAGUGGGAAGAGCUUCGAGUAGCGGUGAUAAACCUACCGAACCUAGUCAUAGCUGGUUGCUUGUGAAUUGAAUAGAAGUUCAGCUUCUUGGGUUCUCCCCUCCUAUCUGCGUACGCACUCACAGAUAAAAAGAAACCAAGAAAGUUAUUCAUAAGAGGUACAGCUCUUAUGACACAGACUCAACUUUUUUAAAUGGGUAAAGAUCAUAAAACCUUAAGGCCUAUACCCCAGUGGGCUUAAAAGCAGCCACCUGUAUAGAAAGCGUUACAGCUCCAAUACUCCCCCCUCCCCCUAUCCCGAUCAAAUAAUCUUAUCCCUUUUUAAUACUAACAAGCCCUCCUAUAUCCAUUAGGAUAGACCAUGCUAAAAUGAGUAACUAGAGACCCCGACUCUCUCUUUCAGCACACGCAUAAAUCGAAACGGACUCACCAUCGAAAAUUAACGGCCCCAACCCCAGAGGGUAUUGAAUAACUGUUAAAGAACAAGAAGAGCAUUCAACGCUCCACCGUUAACCCCACACCACGUGCUCAAAAAGAAAGACUAAAGGAAAAAGAAGGAACUCGGCAAACACUAAGCCUCGCCUGUUUACCAAAAACAUCGCCUCUUGUCCCCCCAAAAUAAGAGGUCCCGCCUGCCCUGUGACCACAUGUUUAACGGCCGCGGUAUCCUAACCGUGCGAAGGUAGCGCAAUCACUUGUCUUUUAAAUGAGGACCUGUAUGAAUGGCAUAACGAGGGCUUAACUGUCUCCUUUUUCCAGUCAACGAAAUUGAUCUCCCCGUGCAGAAGCGGGGAUGAUAACAUAAGACGAAAAGACCCUGUGGAGCUUUAGAUGACAGGCUGACCGGAAUUCACACACCCGAAACAGGACUAAAUAAUUCCGAGUACCAGCCCUACAUCUUCGGUUGGGGCGACCGUGGAGGAACAAAAACCCUCCAUGUGGACCAGGUGUAUUAUACAUCCCACCCAAAGCUAAGACCCACAGCUCAAAGCAGCAGAAAAUCUGACCUAAAUUGAUCCAGCGCACGCUGAUCAACGGACCAAGUUACCCCAGGGAUAACAGCGCAAUCCUCUUCUAGAGUCCAUAUCGACAAGAGGGUUUACGACCUCGAUGUUGGAUCAGGACAUCCUAAUGGUGCAGCCGCUAUUAAGGGUUCGUUUGUUCAACGAUUAAAGUCCUACGUGAUCUGAGUUCAGACCGGAGUAAUCCAGGUCGGUUUUUAUCUAUGAUAAGAUUUCUUUUAGUACGAAAGGACCAAAGAAAUAAGGCCCAUGCCCAAAGCACGCCUCACCCCUACCUGCUGAAAACCACUAAAGCACGCAAGGGACUUUCUUUCCCUAUGCCAAAGAUAAUGGCCGCUA
rnacentral:rRNA from 1 species